rnacentral:rRNA from 1 species
AAAAACCAAAAACUCUGCCCUUCCAUCCCUUGGAUAGAUAGAGAGGGAGGGCAGAGUUUUUGGUGUCCCUUCCAGUCAAAAAUUGGGGCCUCACAAUCACUAGCCAAUAUGAAUAUGCUUU